rnacentral:rRNA from 1 species
UACGAAGGGUGCAAGCGUUAAUCGGAAUUACUGGGCGUAAAGGGUGCGUAGGCGGUUCGUUAAGUCUGUCGUGAAAUCCCCGGGCUCAACCUGGGAAUGGCGAUGGAUACUGGCGAGCUAGAGUGUGUCAGAGGAUGGUGGAAUUCCUGGUGUAGUGGUGAAAUGCGUAGAGAUCAGGAGGAACACCGGUGGCGAAGGCGGCCUACUGGGCCAGCACUGACGCUGAGGCGCGAAAGCGUGGGGAGCAAACAGG